rnacentral:rRNA from 1 species
GACGAACGCUGGCGGCGUGCCUAAUACAUGCAAGUAGAACGCACAGUUUAUACCGUAGCUUGCUACACCAUAGGCUGUGAGUUGCGAACGGGUGAGUAACGCGUAGGUAACCUGCCUGGUAGCGGGGGAUAACUAUUGGAAACGAUAGCUAAUACCGCAUAAUAUUGAUUAUUGCAUGAUAAUUGAUUGAAAGAUGCUAUUGCAUCACUACCAGAUGGACCUGCGUUGUAUUAGCUAGUAGGUGAGGUAACGGCUCACCUAGGCGACGAUACAUAGCCGACCUGAGAGGGUGAUCGGCCACACUGGGACUGAGACACGCCCCAGACUCCUACGGGAGGCAGCAGUAGGGAAUCUUCGGCAAUGGACGAAAGUCUGACCGAGCAACGCCGCGUGAGUGAAGAAGGUUUUCGGAUCGUAAAGCUCUGUUGUAAGAGAAGAACGGGUGUGAGAGUGGAAAGUUCACACUGUGACGGUAUCUUACCAGAAAGGGACGGCUAACUACGUG